AUAUUUUAAUAAAGUUAUAUUUUAUAACCUAUUUUUAUUGAGAAUAACUUAAAACUUAGAUUUUAUAUCAAAUUGUAUAAAUAUACAAAUAUCUCAGGGUAAAUUCGACAGACUAAAUCAAGUCUGUUAACAUACUAAAUUCUUAAUUUAUUUAAAAAACUUUGAACACGUCACCCUAAUUAUCAAGUACAUACUUUAGUAUGAGUCUUCCACCAAUAAUAAAAGGUUGAAGCAAAGGCAUUUAUUCCAUCUUGUUAAGUGAAAGAUGGAUGUUUAUUUUGUUCAACUGGUGUUCAUGCAAUGAAAACUGCCUAUAAUCAUUUUCCAAUCGAUGAUUCCUGCAACAAGCUCAGACUUAAAAGAAUUAAAGUAACUGGAGAUAAAGAAGUAUGUGAAGGAUUUAAUUUCCCAACUACAGAGUACUCCAAAGAAUAUUCUGUAUCUCAAUAAUAUCCUGACCUAUCGAAUCGAUAUCUUGGUAAUACACUUACACACAUAAAUCUUUU